GUGGGGGUGGUCCCAGGCCCUGGACUGCAGGUGAAACCUGCAGGAAGCCCUGUCUGUUCUGUGUGGGACCCCCACUUCCAUCAUGGCCCCCACCACAGACACAGUGAGUCCACUCCAGUCCCUGUCCCAGCCCCUGUUGGGAUGCUGGCUCUGACCCCAUCUGGCCCCCUGCCUUUUCCUCGAGAUGUCCAUGGGCCCCCAACUCUUUGACGAGGUCUCAGACACCCCGGGGAGGCUGGGGAAAGGAUUCCCGGGGCAGCUGAGCCUGAGGCUGUGGGCUUUUCUGUCGUUUCUGCAGCCCCAGGGACUGGCACUGUAGGACCUCUGCAGGCUGGUUGGGGUGAAUGAAUGAUUGAUUGAUGAAUGAAUGAAUGAAUGUCAGUUCAGCUGCCAUUUCACCGCCUGGAAUUUGGGACUCGGACUGGCUUCCUGGCUCCUCAGCUUGCAGACGGCCUAUUGUGGGACUUCACCUGGUGAUCAUAGAAACAGUGGACCCACUGAGACCAAGGGCAAGGGGAGGAAAGGCCCGGGGUGGGGCUGAAGACACAGGUUCCAGGCCCAGCUCUGCUGCUCACCGAUGAGGCUUCUCCUCUGUUGAGCAGGUAGCCCCAGUUGGGAGCUGAGGUGUGUUGAUUGGGGCUCUGGGAACCAUAGCCUGCCAGCUGUGGCUUGGCCAUCCCCUCUGCCAGCGCUUUCCCGCCCAUCAGCCCUUUUCCCUGGAGUCCCUCCUUCAGCCAGGUCCUGAAAAGUCACACCUUUUGGCCAAGCUGCUGAAAAUACAACUCAGCCAGAACUCAUGUGCUCAUGCCAGCCUCAUUCAUGACACCCCUCAAACCAGAAACAGCCCAGGAGCCGAUCAACAGCUUCAUGGGAAAAUGUAUUGCAGUCUAUCCCAUCACUGGGCUCUUCCGCGGCAGUGGAGACAGGCGAAUUAUAGUCUAUCCUAUCACCGGACUCUUCCGCGGCAGUGGAGACAGGCGAAUCAUGGUCUAUUCCAUCAAUGGACUCUUACGCCGCAGUGGAGACAGGCGAAUUGCAGUUAUGCGCAGCAUGGAAGCCUCUCUCAAACAAUCACAUUGAGCAGAAGUGGCCAGGCUCAAUUCUGUGGAAUCCUGUGUGGAUCACAAACAGGCAACGUAGAGGACGACCUCACUGAAGAUCCCCCUACCCCAGGCUCAAGUCAGAGAGAGAGGAGGUGGCAGUGCCGGAAUUUCAGCUGCGCAUCCGUCCCAGCUCUGCACUGCGGGCGUCCGUCCCAGCUCUGCACUGCGGGCGUCUGUCCCAGCUCUGCAUUGCAUGCGUCCCGCCCCGGCUGGAGCUUGCAGACGGCAGCCCUGCAGGAACCCACCGGGGCUGACUCCUUCCUCCCCAGAUCCCACAAAACAGCAAUGGAUCUCCACUCGGCACGCAUUCCCCUCUACAUUCACACAAAGUGUCUUUUAAUGGAAAGUGUAUAAACUCGUUAAUUUUGGUUACUGCACUGAAGUUAGGCAAGUUUCUGCAGCUUUAUUAAAUGACGAAUGC